UACAGAGGGGGCAAGCGUUGUUCGGAAUUAUUGGGCGUAAAGGGCUCGUAGGCGGUUUGUCGCGUCGGGAGUGAAAACUCAGGGCUUAACCCUGAGCCUGCUUCCGAUACGGGCAGACUAGAGGUAUGCAGGGGAGAACGGAAUUCCUGGUGUAGCGGUGAAAUGCGCAGAUAUCAGGAGGAACACCGGUGGCGAAGGCGGUUCUCUGGGCAUUACCUGACGCUGAGGAGCGAAAGUGUGGGGAGCGAACAGG
rnacentral:rRNA from 1 species